rnacentral:tRNA from 1 species
AUUCUUUUAGUAUAUUUGUAUAAUUGUCUUCCAAACAAGUGGUUUAAGUUUUUUAAAAAGGAUA